ACCGCGCGAAGGAAGCAUAAUCACUUGUUCUUUAAAUAAGGACCUGUAUCAACGGCAUCACGAGGGCUAGACUGUCUCCCCUCUCUAAUCAGUGAACCUGAUCUCUUCGUGAAGAAGCGAAGAUGCGUGUAUAAGACGAGAAGACCCCAUGGAGCUUAAAACCAAAUAGCACCCUUUUGUCUAUAAACCUUAGUAUACAAAAUACCUGUUAGCUAGUUUUUGGCUGGGGCAUCCAAGGAGUACAACACAACCUCCCUGACACCUAUCACAGAGCCACAGCUCCAAGAAGCAGAAACCUGAUGUAAAAUGACCCGAAAUCGAUCAACGAACCAAGUUACCCUGGGGAUAACAGCGCAAUCCAUUUCAAGAGCCCCUAUCGACAAAUGGGUUUACGACCUCGAUGUUGGAUCAGGGCAUCCCAGUGGUGCAGCCGCUACUAAAGGUUCGUUUGGUC
rnacentral:rRNA from 1 species